CAGGUUCAGCUGCUAGAAAAUCAACCAAUCCUUGAGGCAGGGUGUGCAAAGAACAACAUACCCUCAUGGCUGGAAGAAACCAAAGUCAGGAUGACCACAGAAAAAUGUCUUCUUGCAAGUGCAAGCACCAAUUCCCUGCAUGGAGGAGAAGGACUUCUGCAGCCAAUUGCUGAUGGUUAAUAAGAGCUGGGUGCUGUCAACAUCAGUGGAAUUUUCCCCCAUAUGUUGCUAGAAGACGAUAAGGACCACGUACUUAAGAGAGAGAAAAAAAAAAGUUGCCCAGCUCAGAGGAGGAGGAAAUCUGCUGCACUUCUCUUACCUGAGGGUUUCCUUUG